AGAGUUUGAUCCUGGCUCAGAACGAACGCUGGCGGCAGGCCUAACACAUGCAAGUCGAACGCAUCCUUCGGGGCUGAGUGGCGGACGGGUGAGUAACGCGUGAGAAUCUGCCUAAAGGACUGGGACAACAGCUGGAAACGGCUGCUAAUACCAGAUAUGCCAGAAAGUGAAAAGGGGUAACCCGCCUUUUGAUGAGCUCGCGUCUGAUUAGCUAGUUGGUAGGGUAAAGGCCUACCAAGGCUCCGAUCAGUAACUGGUCUGAGAGGAUGACCAGUCACACUGGGACUGAGACACGGCCCAGACUCCUACGGGAGGCAGCAGUGGGGAAUUUUCCGCAAUGGGCGCAAGCCUGACGGAGCAAUACCGCGUGAGGGAGGAAGGCUCUUGGGUCGUAAACCUCUUUUCUCAGGGAAGAACACAAUGACGGUACCUGAGGAAUCAGCAUCGGCUAACUCCGUGCCAGCAGCCGCGGUAAUACGGAGGAUGCAAGCGUUAUCCGGAAUGAUUGGGCGUAAAGCGUCCGCAGGUGGCAGUGUAAGUCUGCUGUCAAAGGUCAGGGCUCAACCCUGAACAGGCAGUGGAAACUACACAGCUAGAGUGCGGUGGGGGCAGAGGGAAUUCCCAGUGUAGCGGUGAAAUGCGUAGAGAUUGGGAAGAACACCGGUGGCGAAAGCGCUCUGCUAGGCCGCAACUGACACUCAUGGACGAAAGCUAGGGGAGCGAAUGGGAUUAGAUACCCCCGUAGUCC
rnacentral:rRNA from 1 species